rnacentral:rRNA from 1 species
GACGAACGCUGGCGGCGUGCUUAACACAUGCAAGUCGAGCGGAAAGGCCCUUCGGGGUACUCGAGCGGCGAACGGGUGAGUAACACGUGAGUAACCUGCCCCAGACUUUGGGAUAACCCUCGGAAAUGGGGGCUAAUACCGGAUACGACACAGCUUCGCAUGGGGUCUGUGUGGAAAGUUUUUCGGUUUGGGAUGGGCUCGCGGCCUAUCAGCUUGUUGGUGGGGUGAUGGCCUACCAAGGCGACGACGGGUAGCCGGCCUGAGAGGGCGACCGGCCACACUGGGACUGAGACACGGCCCAGACUCCUACGGGAGGCAGCAGUGGGGAAUAUUGCACAAUGGGCGGAAGCCUGAUGCAGCGACGCCGCGUGAGGGAUGACGGCCUUCGGGUUGUAAACCUCUUUCAGUAGGGACGAAGCAUAAGUGACGGUACCUGCAGAAGAAGCGCCGGCCAACUACGUG